AAGCCUUAAACUUAUGAAUCAGGAAGAGAAUGACUCAGUGUGACACCGGGGUCCUCCCUGCUAACGUGAGAUGAAAUGUGUGAGCAGGCAAAGGUCACCCCUAGGGGGACUUCGCCUGCUUUGCAGGAUGCCUGGGAGCUGUGAUCCGCCAU
ensembl:snRNA U12 U12 minor spliceosomal RNA